rnacentral:lncRNA from 1 species
UUUUUUUUUUUUUUUUUUUUUUUUUUUUGGUCAUUUCUUGGGCUGCUCCCAUGGCAUAUGGAAAUUCCCAGGCUAGGGGUCAAAUUGGAGAAGUAGCCACCAGCCUACAUCACAGCCACAGCAAUGCGGGAUCCAAGCCGCGUCUGCAACCUACACCAUGGCUCAUGGCAACACCGAAUCUUUAACCCACUGAGCAAGGCCAGGGAUUGAACCCACAACCUCAUGGUUCCUAGUUGGAUUCAUUAACCACUGAGCCACGAUGGGAACUCUGGUUUCUAUACACUAAUUACAACUAUCAGAAAAAGUAACUUAAAAAAAAUCCCAUUUAUGGAGUUAAGGGGGUUAAGGCUGCAGCACUGUUGCAGCUGGAGCUCAGAUUCAAUUCUUGGCCCAGGAACUUCCAUAUGCUGCAAGUGCAGUGGCAAAGGGGAAAAAAAUCCCAUUUAUAGUUGCAAUAAAGACAAUACAUAGAAAUAAAUUUAACCCAAAAGGUGAAGACCAGUAAAACGACAACUAUAAGACAUUGAUGAAUGAAACUGAAAAAGAUACAAAUAAAUGCAAAGAUACUCUAUACUCAUAGAUUAGAAGAAUUUGUCAUUAAAAUGUCCAUACUACCCAAAGCAAUAUACACAUUCAACACCCAAUCAAAAUUCCAAUGGUAUUUUUCACGAAAAUAGACUAGUCAAUAUUAAAAUUUGUAUGGGACCACAAAAAGCUCUGCACAUCUAAAGCAAUUUGGGGAAAAAGAACAAAGCUGGAGGCAGCUCUCUCCCUGGUUUCAAACUAUACUAUAAAACUACAAUAAUCAAAGCAGUAUGCUAUAGGCAUAAAAUAGAUACAUAGAUCAAUGGAACAGAAUAGAGUCCAGAAAUAACCCCACAUAAAUACACUAAAUUGAUUUAUGAUAGAGAAGCUGAGUGUGUACAAUGGGGGAAGGACAAUGUAUUCCAUAAAUGAUGCUGGGAAGACAGGAUAGCCAUAUGCAAAAGAAUGAAGCUAGACCACUAUCUUACAUUAUCUACACAUGUUUAAUCGAAAUGGACUAAAGACUUGAAUGUAAGACAUGAUAUCAUAAAAUUCCUAGAAGAAAACACAGGUGCCAAGCCCUUUGAAACUAGUACUGACAAUGAUAUUUUUGAUUUGACACCAAAAGCAAAGGGAAUGAACACAAGAAUAAACACGUAUAACUAUGUAAAACUAAAAAUAUUCACAGCAAAGAAAACCAUAAACAAAAUGAAAAGGCCACCUAAGAACUGGAGAAAGUAUUUGAAAAUCAUAUAUAAGUUAAGGGAUUAAUAUCCAAAAUAUAUAAAGAGCCCAUACAACUCAACAGCACAAAAACAAUCCAAAAUUUUAAAUAUGACAGUGAAUCUAAACUGAUAUUUUCCAAAGAUGACAUUCAGAUGGCCAACAGGUACAUGAAGAGAGGCUCAACAUCACUAGUCAUCAGAGAAAUGCAAAUCAAAACCACAAUGAAAUACCAAGUAAUACCUCUUAUAAUGGCUAAUAUCAAAAAGACAAGAAAUAAAAAUGGUGGGCAAGGUUGUAGAGAAAACUGAACACUAGUGCACUAUUUAUGGAUAUGCAACUGGUACAGCCACUCUGGCAAACAGCAUGGAGACUCCUCAAAAAUUAAAAAUAGAACUACCAUAUAAUUUAGAUAUUCCACUUCUGAGUAUUUAUCUGAAGAAAAUGAAAAUUCAAACUCAAAAAGAUAUUUGUAUGCCCAUGUUUAAUGCAACAUUAUUUACAGUAGUCAAGAUACAAAAACAACCUAAGUAUCCAUCAAUGGAUGAAUAAAGAAAAUGUGUUAUGUGUAUAUACAUACAUAUAUACAUACACAUUUUCACAAUGAAUUAUUUUUCAGCCAUAAAAGAAGUAAAUCUUGCCAUUUGUGACAACAUGGAUGAAACUUGAGGGCACUAUGCUAAGUAAGUAAGACAAAGAAAGAUAAUUACCAUAGAAUCUCUUAAAGUUUAAGAUCUCCACAUGUAAAUGAAAGAAACCCAAGUUCAUAGAUACAGAGAACAGAUUCAUCAUUGCCAAGGGUAUGGGGUAGGUUGUGGGUGAAAUGAAUGAAGGGAAAUCAAAGGAAACAAAUUUCCAGUUAUAAAACAAAUAAGCCAUGGGCAUGUAAUUUAGAGCAUAUGACUCAAUGAAUAACAUUUCAUUGUAUAUUUGAAAGUUGCUAAAAGAGUAAGUCUAAAAGUUUCUUAUCAUAAGAAAAUUAUAAGUAUGUAUGGUAGAGUUUCCAUUGUGGCUCAGUGGUUAACAAAUCCAACUAAGAACCAUGAGUUUGCAGGUUCGAUCCCAGGCCUUGAUCAAUGGGUUAAGGAUCUGGUAUUGCCUCAAGCUGUGGUUAGGUCAUGGAUGUGGCUCGGAUCUGGCAUUGCUGUGGCUCGCGUAGGCUGGCAGCUACAGCUCCGAUUAGACCCCUAAACUGGGAACCUCCAUAUGCCUCAGGUGUGGCCCUAGAAAAGACAAAAAGACAAAAAAAAUUAAAAAAAAAAAAACCUAUGUAUGGUGACAAAUGUGAAUUAUCACUGAUCAUUUCAUAAUAUAUAUGAAUGCUGAGUUGUUAUGUUGUACAACUGAAAAAAAUAGUGUUAUGUGUCAAUUAUACCUUAAUAAAAAUAUAUACCUGGCAAAUAUUGUUUUUAUAUUAUUUGGAGUACAUAAAGUGUAUUACCAACCAUUAAAUAUAAUGACCAUUAUUUCAUACUAGUAGUACAUCUUCAAAAUAGUGUUAUAUAUAGAAAAAAAAUGCCAUAUCAUACACUAAUUGUCUUCUUCUCUGCUUAAUGUAUCAAUGAAAGAUGUCACUAUCAGAACGGAUAUAAACCACAGAAAAUAUUUACUGAUGAUAGACUUUUAUUUCCUCAUCAGGUUGCAUUUGAGAAGUUCUUUUAGUAAGAGGUAAAAUAUUAUGGGAAGUGAAAUCCCAAAGCAAAAAAUCUAACAGGAUAGUGAAUCUAUUUCUAUUCCUUUGGGUCCUCACUUGCCUAGACAAACUUUAUCAAAACAAUUUGCUUAUUUCCAUUUGGAAGAUGCAUAAUGGUUGUCUUCAGUGCUGCACCUUAUUUCUCCAUCCACUGAGAUAAGAUUCUCAUAGAUCUCCGAUCAAUUGAGCAUUCUAACACUCACACACAGACACACACAGAAUGUAGGCAACCUGGCUUAUCUAAGAAUUUCAAAACUUUCAAGAAAGUGGUAAAACAAAUCAAAUGAUUAAGGGUGCUCAUAGAGGCGAAUCUUUUAUUUCCUAUAAAAACAUAAUCUCCCAUAUGGAAUAUAUUAACUAAAGAUUUAGUAAUGAAUGGUAUGCUUUCUGUCUUCAUACUCUGGUCAUUAUGCCAAAAAUAAUCUUUGCUCUUUCCUUCUUCCAGAGUCUAUGUGGCUAACAUACACUUCAAGCUAAGACAGAACUCCCCGAGAGAAAGACAAAUCUUCCCUCACCCUGUCAUUAGAUUACAAAUGGUGGCCUUUGUGCUGAUUCAUUUUAAAGCAAACCCCUUCAACGCUUAUGAUCUGUUUUCCCUUCUGUCUCUCCCACACGAUUGAAAAUUUCUUGAGGGAAAUAAUUAUGGUAUAUUUCUGUAGUCUAGUAUCCAGCACACUAUUUGAGACAGUAACUGUUGAUAAAAUAAAUGAAUAAUAAUUGUAAUAUAUAGACUUAUAGAACUCUUUUAUAUUUAAUAAAAUACCUUCUUAUACCAGCAGAAGACAAGUUAUUAUACCUUGCUGAUGUUUUGAUCACUGGCUAGAAAGUGGCAUAGAUUAAAUAGUAAAAAAAGAAAAAAAUGGUAAAAUGAAAACAUCCUGAUAUAGGUUCAUCCAAUUUUAUACCAUAACAACAUGUAUUUAACAAUACUUCUCUGAAUCUUUUCAGCAUCCCUUAGACCCAGGCAAAUGGGGCCCCUGAUUCAGGCACUGGGCUUUAUUUACAACAUUUGCAACGGCUCUCUUCUUUUGCCUGUAUCCUCAGCGGCAAGGAGUCUACAGGCAUGAGUGGACAUACUAAUCUGAAUCCUGUAUCUCCUCUAUAUCAUGCUCCUGAAAAUCUGUGUUUGGGGAAUUUUCUGCCAAAAACCCUACAAUAUCACCUCUGAACCCACUUAUUAUCUUUCUUCUGCAAUAAAAAGGUCAUUCAUUUAGGAUUUUAUUUAGGUUUUUAUUUUCAGCCUUCUCAUGGGACAAAAAUGAUCUCUUUCAUUUUAUUCUGUUAUUCCUAAAGAAUUGGAAAAUGUCUAUAUGAACAUCAAAUCCAAUUAAUUUGGUGUCAAGUCUCAGAUAUUCCCCAGCUUAGGCCAUGUCUUCCUGGUACAAUUCUCAAAGACACUAAUUUUAAUUCUCUUGAAAAUGUUAUCUUUCCUUACUUAUCCUCAUCAGUGUCACUGGUGUCUCCUGGGCCCCAUAUAUAAUAGCUAUGAUAUUGUUCCUUUUUAAUAUUUUCUCCAGGAUGUUCUCAUGCCAGGCUACUUUUCUUACCUCAGUAUUUUUAAUCAGUAUCUCCUGAUUUUAACUCCAGGGCCUCAGAGGAAAAAAAAAAAAAAAAAGUCUCCCCACUGACUCUUCAUGCUAUUUUAUUGAAGUGUAUGUUCUGAAAGAAAAAGGAAAAGAGGGCAGGAAAUUGACAUUUCUCUUCUCAGAGCUGAUUCUAUCCCUGACGUAGACCCUGUGAAACAACAUUAUCCAUAUAUGACUUAUCCUAUCUGGUCAGUUUGUUUUGCAUACCUGGAAGCUGGAACUUUAAUCCCCCAACACAUCUGGGAAUGCUGCCAUCGCUAAUGGCCAAAUAGUGUAUGCAAAGUGAGAACUUGCAGACACCUGUCCUUCAAAAGUCUGUCACACAAAACCUAUUUGGUCCUCUCCUAAGAGACACUGUGUUUUGUCAUGGAGUCUUCCUCGACCAAUCUCAGUGCACUUAGUGUAGGUUUUCAGUUCUCAUAGAUCUAGUCUCUAAAUGGGAUUUCUGGAAAGAAGCCAGCUCAAGACUAUGCACAUAUGUAUUGCAUGGCCUGCUCUGUUGUUAUUCCCUGGAAGUCUUCAAGAUGAAGUGCAUUUACCACGCAUUCUGUGGUUUCCAUACCUUUCUAAAUAAAACUAAGGUUCAAUAAUUCUGCAUAAUAAACAUAUGAUAAACUGUACAAGUUAAGAUGUUUGCUUUUUGCCUCUUACCUGAAGGAGUUAUUUUGGUUGUUGCUAUUAAUAAGAGUUUGAAACUGUGGUUUUAAUUUCUUAUCUAGACAUGAACAAAUGAAUAUAUCCAUUACACAGCAAGCCUUCAGUACAUGCAUGAUACACACGAUUUUGAAACAUCAAAAUAAAUGUUGGGAUCCAAAGAAAGAAAAUCAUGUUAUUUGUCACAAUAUUUCAAUGACCUUUGAAAAUGCAAUGAAUCACAAAAAUACAUUU